rnacentral:rRNA from 1 species
GACGAACGCUGGCGGCGCGCCUAACACGUGCAAGUCGAACGAGCGAGAGAGAGCUUGCUUUCUCAAGCGAGUGGCGAACGGGUGAGUAACGCGUGAGGAACCUGCCUCAAAGAGGGGGACAACAGUUGGAAACGACUGCUAAUACCGCAUAAGCCCACAGGUCGGCAUCGACCAGAGGGAAAAGGAGCAAUCCGCUUUGAGAUGGCCUCGCGUCCGAUUAGCUAGUUGGUGAGGUAACGGCCCACCAAGGCAACGAUCGGUAGCCGGACUGAGAGGUUGAACGGCCACAUUGGGACUGAGACACGGCCCAGACUCCUACGGGAGGCAGCAGUGGGGAAUAUUGCACAAUGGGGGAAACCCUGAUGCAGCGACGCCGCGUGGAGGAAGAAGGUCUUCGGAUUGUAAACUCCUGUUGUUGAGGAAGAUAAUGACGGUACUCAACAAGGAAGUGACGGCUAACUACGUG